UACGUAGGGGGCAAGCGUUGUCCGGAAUUACUGGGCGUAAAGCGCGCGUAGGCGGUCUUUUAAGUCGGGGGUGAAAUCCUGGAGCUCAACUCCAGAACUGCCUUCGAUACUGGAAGACUUGAGUCCGGGAGAGGUGAGUGGAACUGCGAGUGUAGAGGUGAAAUUCGUAGAUAUUCGCAAGAACACCAGUGGCGAAGGCGGCUCACUGGCCCGGUACUGACGCUGAGGUGCGAAAGCGUGGGGAGCAAACAGG
rnacentral:rRNA from 1 species